rnacentral:rRNA from 1 species
GAUGAACGCUGGCGGCGUGCUUAACACAUGCAAGUCGAACGAAGCAUUUAUUAUGAAGUUUUCGGAUGGAUUAAUAUCUGACUGAGUGGCGGACGGGUGAGUAACGCGUGGGUAACCUGCCUUAUACAGGGGGAUAACAGCUGGAAACGGCUGCUAAUACCGCAUGAGCGCACAGCUUUGCAUGAAGCAGUGUGAAAAGAUUUAUCGGUAUAAGAUGGACCCGCGUCUGAUUAGCUGGUUGGUGGGGUAACGGCCUACCAAGGCGACGAUCAGUAGCCGGCUUGAGAGAGUGAACGGCCACAUUGGGACUGAGACACGGCCCAAACUCCUACGGGAGGCAGCAGUGGGGAAUAUUGCACAAUGGGGGAAACCCUGAUGCAGCGACGCCGCGUGAGUGAAGAAGUAUUUCGGUAUGUAAAGCUCUAUCAGCAGGGACGAUAAUGACGGUACCUGACUAAGAAGCCCCGGCUAACUACGUGCCAGCAGCCGCCGUAAGAC